UGCCAUUACCUUUAUCUGUAAGUGAGAUAUUGGAACUUUUCCUUUCCUUUUCCUUUUCCUUUGUUGAUCGUGUGAAACUUAAUGUUGAUUAAGCUAAAUCGUGACAAUAAGACCACUGCUCCCUCUUAUUCCUUAGGAUGUCUUAGUAUUAUUUCUUAAAUUCUUAUUGUUGGGCUAUAAUACUUUAGACAUGUUGAGGUGGGUCUUGAAAGUAUUAGGCCGGUUCAUUGGGCCAGCCCAUUGGGUGGAUAUUAUCUUUAUUUUGGGGCCUAUGAAGUAUUGGGCUGUAGCAGUGGGCCAGAUUACUAGAUGAGUGUGGUUCCACUUGGGCUUUGACCGAUGUAGAUUGGGGAUAGAACUUUGACUGUCAUCUCUGCAUUGCAUUUAAUGAGGAUUGGACAGGGCUUAGUCGGCUAAAGGAGGUGGGCCCAGGGAAGUCAGUUGCAUACAGGACAAACCGGACUUUGGGGAUAUAAAGCAAGGAUGACACACGGUGAAAGGUAACUAAUUAAUUAUUCCUCUCAUUGUUAACCUUGUGAUGGCCUGUACUGACUCUCACGCCGGAGCUAUCCCCCGACGGUCAAGCCGUCAAGCUUUUGGUGUUGACUGUGUUUACUGUGCAGGAUAUCGGACGCGUCUUGGUGAUU
rnacentral:lncRNA from 1 species